AUCUUCUUCUUUUCCCCUUUCGAAGGCAUUGUCACUUUGUCAGCCUUCUGCUAGCCUUUGGACUUCAAAUCCAGCAACCAUCUGAAAAGUUAAAUGGCAAGUAAUUCAGAAACAGAAAAGCAUAUCUGCUUUGUUAAUUAGUUUGUUCUGGUGAUCGUAGUGCGCGUGUGCGUCGAUGUUAUAUAUAUAUAUAAACACAUGGAGGGGUCGAUCUCAAUAACACACACCAACACCAAGCAACCGAAACAACUUGAAGCUAUCGCUAGCUUAGCUGCAGCUCAUGCAAUAAGCUAAUUAGAAGCUAGCACAAAGUAUACGUAGUAACAGCAAUUCUCUGAUCUCGAUGGAGAACAACAAGAACAGCCAGCUGCAGCCUCCUCCAGGUUACCCGAGGUUGGAUUCGGAGCAGCAGGCAGGGAAGAAGAAGGGACGCUGCUGUGGAUCAUCUUGCCGCCGUUCAACUAAACGUGGGGAGACGAGCUUUAUUGAAGGAUGCAUUGCUGCGCUCUGUUGCUGCUGGCUCUGCGAGCUGUGCUGCGACUGAAGAAGGGAUAUAUAUAUAUAUAUAUAUAUAUAUAUAUAUAUAUGUAUCACAUAUUUGCUCCAGAUCAUUGUGAAAAUCGAGGGUUGUUAAUUAUAUACGCAUGGACGUCUGUCCUUAUACUUGUUUAGAUGAGUUUGUUCCCAAUAUAAUGUUAAUUUGGCGUAAUAUAUUAUAUAUAUUGUACUUCUCUCAUGCAGUACGUAUAUAGAGUAUAUAGUACGUCUUGAGGCAUCUAUAUAUACUUUCUUCCCUUGUUAUUAUUGAUAAUAUAUAUUUAUGUAUCGACUGUCGUACACAAAAUAAGCAUUUUCUACAUUCAUGUGAA